GCCAUGGCUCAAUUGUAGAGCAUCUGCCUUGCAUGCAGAAGGUCCCAGCAUCGCCAGGUAGAUCUGGGAGAAAUCCUGCUUGAAACC